GACAGAGGGUGCAAACGUUGUUCGGAAUUACUGGGCGUAAAGCGCGCGUAGGCAGCAGCGUGUGUCGGGCGUGAAAUCCCACGGCUCAACCGUGGAAGUGCACUCGAAACUGCGCAGCUAGAGUCUCGGAGAGGAAGGCGGAAUGCUUGGUGUAGAGGUGAAAUUCGUAGAUAUCAAGCGGAACACCGGUGGCGAAGGCGGCUUCCUGGACCGACACUGACGCUGAGGCGCGAAAGCUAGGGGAGCAAACGGG
rnacentral:rRNA from 1 species